UGUUUGAAACCCACUAGCCUACUUGGAUACUUGCAAACAUUAUUUUAUCUUCCACAGCCAAACGCCCGGUGUCAUAUUACAUGCUUUCCUGCUCGAGAACGCGCUGGACAUCUGGUUGUAGAAGGUAGUAUGGAGAUUCGAUAAUAUUCAAGCAGUCUAUCGGUUUUUGACUGUUGGAAUAUAAACAAUUACAAGAAUAUACCGUAAAUCUAUACGGAUGUCCUUCGACUGCUUGUCGAAGUCCUUUUUGCCCCAGCCGAUAGGUCUCUAGAUGUUACAGAGAACCUCAAACAACUCAAUCUACUAAUCUCCGAU
rnacentral:lncRNA from 1 species